rnacentral:rRNA from 1 species
UACGUAGGUGACAAGCGUUGUCCGGAUUUACUGGGCGUAAAGAGCGCGCAGGCGGUCGUUCAAGUCGCGUGUGAAAGCCCCCCGGCUCAACUGGGGAGGGUCACGCGAUACUGAUCGACUGGAAGGCAGGAGAGGGUAGUGGAAUUCCCGGUGUAGUGGUGAAAUGCGUAGAUAUCGGGAGGAACACCAGUGGCGAAGGCGACUACCUGGCCUGUUCUUGACGCUGAGGCGCGAAAGCUAGGGGAGCAAACGGGG